rnacentral:miRNA from 1 species
AUAUGCAGUAGAUGUGAUCGCG